rnacentral:rRNA from 1 species
UAACACGUAUGGGGCGAGCGUUGUUCGGAAUUAUUGGGCGUAAAGGGCGCGUAGGCGGUUUAGAAAGCCUGGUGUGAAAGGCUCCGGCUCAACCGGAGAACUGCGCUGGGAACUUCUGAACUGGAGUUUAGGAGAGGGAGCUGGAAUUCCUGGUGUAGGGGUGAAAUCUGUAGAUAUCAGGAAGAACACCGGUGGCGAAGGCGAGCUCCUGGCCAUAGACUGACGCUGAGGCGCGAAAGCGUGGGGAGCGAACAGGAUUAGAUACCCUGGUAGUCCACGCUGUAAACGAUGUGCACUGGGUGUUGGUGCUUAAGAAGGCAUCAGUGCCGCAGCUAACGCGCUAAGUGCACCGCCUGGGGAGUAUGCUCGCAAGGGUG